UAGUUAUUAUAGCAAAGAGGAUACACCUGUUCCCAUUCCGAACACAGAAGUUAAGCUCUUUAGCGCCGAUGGUACUUGGUGGGAAGCUGCCUGGGAGAGUA
rnacentral:rRNA from 1 species